rnacentral:tRNA from 1 species
GCGAGUGUAGUUUAAAGGCAGAAUGCCAGCCUUCCAAGCUGGAGAUGAGGGUUCGAUUCCCUCCACUCGCACCA